UUGCUCUGAUUUGACAAGCUUAAAUUUGAGGUCAUUGAUUUGUCUGUUUGCAUCCCCUGAAAUAAGGAACAUUUACAAAUAAGUUUUAUUUAUAAAGUGCCUUUCCCAUGAUCAAGGUCACUGUACAAGGAGAAAAUACAUAAACACAAAUUUAAUCAUAAAUUCAUGUGAUGGUAUACAGUGCAUACGUAUAAAUACAGAACAAAACCAGAAAGCACAACACAAAUAUCCAGUAGUUUCACAGCAAAACAUUAAAUCAGAAGCCGGCUGGAAAUACUGUAAGAAGCGACAGGUUUUUAGUUGGGAUAUGAAUGAUAAUAUAGUUACGGUGUCGCAAAGAAUUGGUGGAAGAGAAUUCCAGUGUUUUGGAGCUACAGCACUGAAAGAGAAGAUCUAUAAUAGUGCAGCAGUUCAGAUAGAUAAUGGUCCAUGAAGACAUUAAAAAGUUAACAAAAGAAUUUUAUACUGAAUGCAGGCAACAGGCAACCAAUGUAGAUUAUAUAUUUUUUUAUUUAUUAUUUUUGACUUGAUUGAUGACUCUAACGGCAGAGUUUUUUGAACAUACAGAACUGUAGCUUAGUAAUAGAGAGAGAUGUGCUUGUAGCUGCAAAGCAACCACUUUUUCAAGCAGUUUGGAAAUGAAAGGGAGAUUAGAUAUUUAUCUGAAGUUAUUCAGAACAGAUGAAUCUAGUACAGGUUUCUUUUAAGAUGAGAGUGACCACAGCCAUUUCUGUCGAUUUGUGCAACCCUGUCAGAUUUUGCUACCUCCCAUUAAAACAGUAGGUAUAACAAUUCAACAACGAAAAGUGCUACAGAUCAAAUCGUGGUUUAUUAACAUCUACACCUACCCUAAACCUACCAUUACAGUAUUGCAAAUACAGUAUUUGUGUUAUUAGUGGUUGUGGUUAGAAGGGAUACAGCUACGGCCGGAAACCAAAAAUAAUUUGUUUUCUAUCCAUUAUCUAUUAGAUUGUGUUUUAAUAACAUCUACAUCUACCCCAACCGUAAUCCUACCGCUUACAGUAAUGCAAAUACAGCAAUUAUUGUUGUUCAGUAUGAGAAAAAUUACUCAAUAUUCAUGUAUGCAUGUGCAGUAAGGCCUGGUAGGACAAUCUGACAGGUAGGAUAAAAUGGAAGGACACUGGACCACAUUUCUCAACAUCUGAGGUCUUAUGUGCUCUGGCAAUAAACCAAGGCCCAUAUUCA
ensembl:lncRNA